GUGCUGGGAUUACAGAUGUGAGCCACUGUGCCUGGCCUUAAUUUCCUCUUUUUAAAAGGACACUAGUCAAAUUGGAUUGGAACCUAUCCUAAUGGCCCUAUUUUAACUUAAUCUCCUCUUCAAUGAACCUUUCUCCAAAUGCAGUGACUUUCUGAAGUACUGCGGGGAAAGACUUCGACAUAGGAAUUUUGAGGGUCCCAAUUCAGCUCCAGACAGGCCCUAAUGGAAGCUCUGGCCACUGCGUCCAGCAGCAAUGUGACCCUGGAUGAGUCCUCGCUCACUGGGUUUUAGUUUUCUUAUCACCAGCAUGGUCGGGGGGGUAAUCAGACAAGCUUGCCCAGGGCCUUUACAGCUUGAAAACUCCACAGUGACCUAUAAAAGCAUCACUCCAGGAAGAUAUAUUGCUUUUGUGACCCAGGCAACACCACGAGGGCUUUCAGCGUUCAAGGCCACGCAGCCACAGCGCUCUGAUGUUUCUCAAUAUUUGACGACAAAUUUUAUGAUCCCUGUUGGCAGGUGAGACAUUUCUCCUCAGCUUGAAAGCAAUAGCAGUGUGGUCUCAGCGGGGAACAUCCUCAGAGAAAUGUUUGUUUUUUUCUCGUGUGUUCGGUUCCGAGGUGGAAGCCCCCAACCACUCAUUGAGGGAAGGGACGUGUCUGAUGCUUCUAAAUCAAACAAAGGCAUUUUCUUUUCAGGAUGGGUGUUUCUCUAUACACACACGAUUAAAGACCAAAGCCCAAACAGACCUACCGGGGAAUGAGAAAGGCUCAGCAAAGACAGCACAGCCCUCUUCUUGUGGGCACAAAGGUGGGCUGGCUAGUACCUGGCACUGCAUGGCCAGCCAGGAGCCCAUCUGUGACUUCCAGGAUCCCAAGAGUCACACAGGGCUGUGGGGGCUUCAAAAACAAGCCUGAAGCAGAGGCCCUUAGCCCAUCCUCGAUUGGGCAGCGGUGCGGUAGGGUUGGUAUUCUCCCCAGAGCUCUGCCUUCUGCUUUGCCACGCAGUAGCUGUAUUGGACCGGGCUGGUUUCCUUCCACAGGCGUGGACAGAGAGGAGAGGCAGGGCCCCCAGUGGGACCACGGGUCCCUCUCAUAGUCUCACCUUGGGUGAGUUGCUUUAUCCUUCUCCUCCCUUGAAGCUGGUCUUCAAAUCAGCUCCAUGUCUUUGUGCAGACACCUGUUUGGCUGUGUCUCUACCCAAAUCUCAUCUUUAAUCGUAGCUCCCAUAAUUCCCAUAUGUUGUAGGGGGACCUGGGGGGAGGUAAUUGAAUCAUGGGGAUGGGAUUUUUCCAUGCUAUUCUCGGGAGAGCAAUUAAGUUUCAGGAAAUCUGACGGUUUUAGAAAAGGCGGUUCUCCUGCACAUGCUCUCUUGCCUGCUGCCGUGUAGGACGUGCCUUUGCUUCUGCCUCACCUUCCACUGUGACAGUGAAUUCUCCCCAGCCAUGUGGAACUGUGAGUCCAUUAAACCUCUUUCUUUAUAAAUUACCCAGUUUGAGUAUGUCUUCACAGCAGUAUGAAAAUGGACUAAUUCAUGCAGAGAGCUGAACUUUCCAGAUUCCGAGUGUCCUAUAUCCAUGAAAUUGCAAUAUUGGCACCCAAGAGGCAGCUGGGAGGGAUAAACGGGGUCUUAUGUGCAGAGUUAGGUGUGAAAUACACAGCAGCUAGUGUUACAUUUUCUUUGAGCAUCCACUGAUUUGGGUCAAAUUGGACAUGUCUGGACAUGGAGGGGAAUUUCCUAUUGGGAAUACUACACGUAGCUCUUCUUGAGCUUAGCACGGUCCCCUCUGUAAUCAACAUAUAUGUAGGGUUUUACAGAUUCCACAGCACAGUUGCAUGCCUCAUCUCCUCUAACCCUCUCCAUUGUACUGUGAGAUCCAUCUUGUCACUUCUGUUUUACAUGAGGAAUAUCCUGAAUGAGGCGGGGGCUCAUGUGGAUCACCUGUCCAAGGCCCCUCAGUUCUAAGAGGGCAAGGAAAGACCUGAGGAUAAGCACAGACUGAUGGUCUGUACUUCUGUAGCCCAGAAACUAGGCUUGUUUUACAGUCUUUGUGUCUCACGAUUUUCUUGCAAAAAACCCUGUGUCCGGCUCUGUGCACACCCAGCACAGAAGCUGAGUGGGCUUCAGUUUAUCUGAGCAUGCUAGUUUCUAGUCCAUACUGGAGGGCUGUGUAAGCAUUUCAAGCUAGAGUGAUUAUUUGGCUUUAUUGAGGUGCGUCCUCCUUACCUCAUUAGUAAAAUCAUUCACGCACAAUCUGCUGAAGAGAAACAUGCAUUAAAAUCUGAGAUGGGCUGUGGCCCCAUGAGGCCAAAUUGUUCGAGGCUCUGUUUGGCCUAUUUUCAAUGUUUGCAAAGGACCCAGACCUGCUCCUGUCAUGGGAAACAAUAGAUGGAUUGAAAACUUCUAGAGUUGGAAUUCUAUAAGGCAUAGAACGUUGGUUUACGUGGAGUUAACCAAGAGAAAGUCCAAAGGAGUCAACUGUUGGUUUCCGCCUGGAAUUUUCUUAAUCCUGGUUAAAGCACCUAAGAUCUUUAUGGCUUCAGGCUGGGCCUUGAAGUGGUGGGAGAGGUAUCUCCUUUUCCAGCAGACUCGCCUCUCCAGCUGCAUACCACAGUUGUCCUAUCAGCAGGGCACUCGGCAUGUGGUUUUUGUCACGAGGAGAGGCAGUCAGGAAUUUGUACUUUGAUCUUCCCCACAGAGGUGGAUAUCUUCCCAGGACAAAGGGCAGGGAAACAGACACUCCAAAAUGCAUGUGACCUUGCAAACACCUGUUUAGGGCUCUGGCUUAAAUGGGGACGAUUGGAGGUGAAUGUGGAAAAUUAUUAAAAUGAAUGUAGGCCAUCAGCCUCAUCAACAGCCUCUUGAUGUAAAAUGGAGAUUAUAACAUUGACCUCAAAGAGAUGAUAAAAUUCAAUGAAAUAAUAUCUGCAAGAGGAUCGGCUCCUUGUAGAUGCACCAACAUUCUGUUUUCCAGUCAUCUGUGAGUUUCAACCACCAAAGCCACACUGUAUUCAUUUUAGUUCUCCCAGCGCCUGGCACAGAGGAAGUUCUCAGUGAGUAGUGGCUGAAGGAACGAAUAAUAAACGAUGGAUGGGGUCUUGCUCUGUUGCCAAGGCUGGACGCAGUGGUGUGAUCAUGGCUCACUGCGGCCUCGACCUCCUGGGCUCAAGCGAU